rnacentral:rRNA from 1 species
AGCGAACGCUGGCGGCAGGCCUAACACAUGCAAGUCGAACGAACUCUUCGGAGUUAGUGGCGGAUGGGUGAGUAACACGUGGGAACGUGCCUUUUGGUUCGGAAUAACUCAGGGAAACUUGUGCUAAUACCGAAUGUGCCCUUCGGGGGAAAGAUUUAUCGCCAUUAGAGCGGCCCGCGUCUGAUUAGCUAGUUGGUGAGGUAACGGCUCACCAAGGCGACGAUCAGUAGCUGGUCUGAGAGGAUGACCAGCCACACUGGGACUGAGACACGGCCCAGACUCCUACGGGAGGCAGCAGUGGGGAAUCUUGCGCAAUGGGCGAAAGCCUGACGCAGCCAUGCCGCGUGAAUGAUGAAGGUCUUAGGAUUGUAAAAUUCUUUCACCGGGGACGAUAAUGACGGUACCCGGAGAAGAAGCCCCGGCUAACUUCGUG